CUGUUGUGGUUCGGGGUUCCUUUGGUUCUUUUGUGGGUUUUUCUGUGCAUACACUCACCUUUCACGACAGAUGGCGCCAUACUCACCCGACUGGAGUGUGUGUGUAGACCGCCAUCAAGCACACCUGAACCUGAUCAACUCAUCAGCGGCGUGUACUAAAGGAGGCUCCUGCCAGUCCUUCAGCGCCCGAGUGUUAGCCAGAAACGGUACCUCUGAGCCUCCUAGAACUAGCCUCUGAUCUUUCCUCGUUGAUCUGAAUCCUCAAGUGUCUUUUCCUG